rnacentral:rRNA from 1 species
AUUGAACGCUGGCGGCAUGCCUUACACAUGCAGGUCGAACGGUAACAGGUCUUCGGAUGCUGACGAGUGGCGUACGGGUGAGUAAUACAUCGGAACGUGCCCGAUCGUGGGGGAUAACGAGGCGAAAGCUUUGCUAAUACCGCAUACGAUCUACGGAUGAAAGCGGGGGAUCUUCGGACCUCGCGCGGACGGAGCGGCCGAUGGCUGAUUAGGUAGUUGGCGGAAUAAAAGCUUACCAAGCCGACGACCUGUAGCUGGUCUGAGAGGAUGAUCAGCCACACUGGGACGGUAACACGGCCCAGACUCCUAGGGGAGGCAGGGAUGGGGAAUAUUGGACAAUGGGAGAAAGCCUGAUCCAGACAUGCCGCGUGCAGGAUGAAGGCCUUCGGGUUGUAAACUGCUUUUGUACGGAACGAAAAGCCUCUUUCUAAUAAAGAGGGGUCAUGACGGAACCGUAAGAAUAAGCACCGGCUAACUACGUG